AUCAGCCUUGAACACUCAAAGAAAAAUCUGCCUGCUCUGAAUAUUGCCUGAGGAUUUAGAAAAUCUUUCUUGGAAACAGAAGAAUGAGAUGAAACAAUCAUCUGUACAGCAUGGUAAGAGAGAAAAAGAAUAAAGGAAUGAGUUAUGUUUGACUUGUCUUCUUCCAAGAGAGAAUUUCAUUUUAUUUUUUGGAGUAGGCUUUAGAUGUGGGAGAUGUUGUGGGAGCUGCUCUUUACAGUUGUAAGAUGCAAAUUUAUCAUGGUGCCAGUGCAGGCCAUGGACUUUGUCCAAGGAGUAGCUAUGUUUGGAGGUAUAAUUGUCUUCCCGGUGCUCCGCUAAUGCUGGUUGUUUUGUUGUGGGAAGGAGCUGUGAAAUACUACAAUUGCCACGCACUGUGUUAGGAGCUGGAAGCUGGUUAUUUGAGAUCAGCACUGAAUGCUGCCUAGAGGUUCUCCCACUGCUCUCAGCAGUUCUAAUGCUUCACUAGAAGCUUCAAAACAUGUUUUUUUUUCUCCUGCUCCGGUAACCUGUAAACCACAGCCGUUUCUUUGCUCAGCAACUCGGUUUGCAGUAAGACUGCAUUAUUUACCACUUCAGUUGUUUGAGAAAACUUAGUAAUGACGGGUGUCAAUCAGGUAAAAGUCUGCCGUCUCCCACCUGAGCAGAAGCAACGCUACAAUUUCAGCUGUGUCAUUAAUAAACAAGGAGCCAGUGGAUCUGAGAGCACUGGAAAACCUAUGAUCACUCACUCUGAAAGGGAUGAUUGUCACUCACACCUUGAUGACAUCUACUUGCAGAUAUAAUGAAGAAAGAUUAUCAUGGCUCUACGUGGCUGCAGCAGCUCUGGUCAGCAAAUAAUAACGACGUUGUCUCACUGGUCAGACCUGCCUCCCAGAGACCAACAACACGUUAAGUGAUGUCUUGGUGGUAUUUUGGGCCCUCAUUUAUGUGAUGGCAAUAGAAAUCUAAAAGGAAAAGGCCUUUCUUUUUUGUGACAUAAUGAAUUUCAUGCCAUUCUCUGCAAAUUCUGUUAGUCAUGACCAAAAUCAGCUUACUUCUGCACUGAUGCCUCUGAGAAGAAGCAGUGAAAGACCUUUAAAGCAAAGACUUUGGCUUCAUGUGCUACACCACCAUAAAAUGUUGGCUAUAAUACGCUUAAAAUCUUGCUGUCCCUGGGCCUUAUUAGCACUCGGAGGAGGCGGCGUGGGUUGGAUGGCGGUGGCGUGUGCUGUCCUGCUGCACACAGAAUUGUGCCUUGUGAAGGAGACGUCAGAGCUGACCUUGGCAUACACCUGCUGGAUGUCCAGGUAUGAGCCAGGCAGUCUGAAUCUGGGGGUCUUUGCCCAGUGUGUGGGUUGGAGUGAAAUGCUUCUGCAAAGGUGA
rnacentral:lncRNA from 1 species